rfam:Cavia porcellus supercont2_46 genomic scaffold, whole genome shotgun sequence.
AGCUGACAUUUUUCUCCACCAAUUUGUGGAUUAAAACUUAAUUGACAGGAACAAUAAAUAAACCCUCUCUUGCAACCCAGAACUCACUGUUUGGUAUGCGUUUUGAUGCAUAUAAGAAGGAAUAUU